rnacentral:rRNA from 1 species
UAAAACUCGUGCCAGCAACCGCGGCUAUACGGGUGACCCAAGUUGAUCAGCCACCGGCGUAAAGCGUGGAUAGGACAGAACCCCCACUAAAGCCAAACACCUUCUAAAGCUGUCAUACGCAAUCAAAGAUAGGAAGUCCGACCACGAAAGUGGCUUUAUGUAGUCUCAACCCACGAAAGCUAGGGAACAAACGAGGAUCAGAGACCCUCCUAUGCCUAGCCAUAAACAUUGAUGGCCCAGUACACUCACCAUCCGCCCGGGAACUACGAGCAAGUGCUUAAAACCCGAAGGACCUGGCGGUGCUUUAGACCCCCCUAGAGGAGCCUGUUCUGGAACCGAUGCCCCCCGUUCAACCUCACCCCUACUUGUUUAUCC